AAGCUGAGCAAGGGUGGUUUUACCCAUCCCUCCCAUGCCAACUAUAGGAAUCACACCUAGAUCAUUGCCAUUUGGAUCAUCCGAUAGCACCCUAAGCAUUAUGGCUUCCUUAUCAUCUUCCCUACCAUAAAUACCAGAUUCAUCUACAAGAGAAGUUGUUGCCGUUUUCAGAGACCAUGGUUUUCCUUGAACACCCUCUUUCAAAUUAAGGGUAUCCUUUUGUUUCACUAAAUACUCAAGCCUGUCAAGGAUCUCUUCUAACUUGGGGUUCAUUCCCUUUUUAAAAGAAUUACUUGAAGGGAAGAAAUUCCGGACCUUUUGUUUUGGAGAUGUAGGUUCCAACUUUGGUUGCAGAGCUUCAUAACUAAUCUCAUCCAAAAGGUCAUCAGCUUCAUAAACAGCAUCUUUAAGCUUGUCAAGCCACUCUUUCACAGCUGGCUUAGAAAUCUGCUUCUCUUCUGCAUCAUCAAG
rnacentral:misc_RNA from 1 species